UUUCCUUCUUCUUUUGAAAAUCACUGUGGCGUAACGACAACGAGUGGCGCAAAGCAAAUUCUUGUCCACUCCACCGUCAGCUCUUGUCAGAGAAGGUUCCCUAAUAUUUAAAGAAGACAGUUUUUGUCACUGCUGUUUUCUUUAGCCAACGUAACAGGUUUGGACUUGGCUUGGUGGCGUUUGCCCCUUACAGGAAAUAACCUGUUCAAUGGUUAGGUUUCGCCGACUUGGAAACCAACAUCAAGAGUUGUACAGGCCCGCACAACACUGAAAAUUCUUCAACCGAGAGGUGCAGUGAUGCUAGGUGGAUACCUGAGUGAUACAGGAAGAUGUUUAAAG